rnacentral:rRNA from 1 species
AUUGAACGCUGGCGGCAUGCUUUACACAUGCAAGUCGAACGGCAGCGCGGGCUUCGGCCUGGCGGCGAGUGGCGAACGGGUGAGUAAUGCAUCGGAACGUGCCCAGUAGUGGGGGAUAGCCCGGCGAAAGCCGGAUUAAUACCGCAUACGACCUGAGGGUGAAAGCGGGGGACCGAAAGGCCUCGCGCUAUUGGAGCUGCCGAUGUCGGAUUAGCUAGUUGGUGGGGUAAAGGCUUACCCAGGCGACGAUCCGUAGCUGGUCUGAGAGGACGACCAGCCACACUGGGACUGAGACACGGCCCAGACUCCUACGGGAGGCAGCAGUGGGGAAUUUUGGACAAUGGGGGCAACCCUGAUCCAGCCAUGCCGCGUGCGGGAAGAAGGCCUUCGGGUUGUAAACCGCUUUUGUUCGGGAAGAAAUCCUCUGGGCUAAUACCCCGGGGGGAUGACGGUACCGGAAGAAUAAGCACCGGCUAACUACGUG